rnacentral:rRNA from 1 species
GGCCCCCUACGGGACGCAGCAGUGGGGAAUAUUGCACAAUGGGGGAAACCCUGAUGCAGCGACGCCGCAUGAAGGAAGAAGUAUUUCGGUAUGUAAACUUCUAUCAGCAGGGAAGAAAAUGACGGUACCUGACUAAGAAGCCCCGGCUAACUACGUGCCAGCAGCCGCGGUAAUACGUAGGGGGCAAGCGAUAUCCGGAUUUACUGGGUGUAAAGGGAGCGUAGGCGGCGAUGCAAGUCAGAAGUGAAAGCCCGGGGCUCAACUCCGGGACUGCUUUUGAAACUGUAUGGCUAGAUUGCAGGAGG